ACCUUCGUGGUGUAACGGUUAGCACACUUGGUGCAUAUUCUAGAGGUCCAGGUUCGAGUCCCAGCGAGGGCA
rnacentral:tRNA from 1 species